ACUAGUUGGACAGGGUCAGGUACGACCGA
rnacentral:sRNA from 1 species